rnacentral:rRNA from 1 species
UACGUAGGGCGCAAGCGUUGUCCGGAAUUAUUGGGCGUAAAGAGCUCGUAGGCGGCUUGUCACGUCGGGUGUGAAAGCCCGGGGCUUAACCCCGGGUCUGCAUUCGAUACGGGCUGGCUAGAGUGUGGUAGGGGAGAUCGGAAUUCCUGGUGUAGCGGUGAAAUGCGCAGAUAUCAGGAGGAACACCGGUGGCGAAGGCGGCUUCCUGGUCCAGCACCGACGUUCAGGCACGAAAGCGUGGGGAGCAAACAGG